GGGGCCAUAGCUCAGUUGGUAGAGCGCCUGCUUUGCAAGCAGGAUGUCGGGGGUUCGAAUCCCUCUGGCUCCACGA
rnacentral:tRNA from 1 species